ensembl:processed_transcript 1810021B22Rik RIKEN cDNA 1810021B22 gene
UUCCCUCCAGCAGUCUGUUACACAAGAGGCCCGCAUGGAGACUACUGACAGCCAUUCCCCAGCCUGCGUUGCUCAAGCAGGUUCUGUGGCGCCACAGGAUGAGUGGGUGACGUAUCAGAGUCGGCAGAUGGAGUGCACCUUGGUUUAGCAGAGCAGCUGCUGGAGGGGCUUUUUGAGUCUCACAGGUUCACUUGUCCCGGCUUGCAGGAAUGUAGCCCCAUCGGGCCAGGUUCGUUUCACUGAGCCCUGGGUCUGAGGGCGAAGCCCUGCUGUGGACCUUCUGAUGAACAUAAAUGCAUCCUGACCACAACCAGCCAAGAGCCCUCCCUGGAUCCUGCCAGCUCUGUGGUCCCUGAUGAAGAUGUAGCUCUCAGCCCUGAUGAUGCAGCUCCCGUGCCCUGCCUGCCUGCCUGCCGCUCAACUCCCUAUCAUACUGUUCAUAGACUUACCCUCUGAAACUACAGCCAAUCCUCCAAUUAAAUGUUUUCUUCUUU